CGCUCGUAGUCGGUUUCGGGGCGGGCCGACCGGUCUGCCGAUGGGUAUGCACUGGCCGGCGCGUCCUUCCACCCGGAGACCGCGCCUACUCUUAACUGAGCGGGCGCGGGAGACGGGUCUUUUACUUUGAAAAAAUCAGAGUGUUUCAAGCAGGCAGUCGCUCUUGCAUGGAUUAGCAUGGGAUAAUGAAAUAGGACUCUGGUGCUAUUUUGUUGGUUUCGAACACCGGAGUAAUGAUUAACAGGGACAGUCAGGGGCACUCGUAUUCCGCCGAGAGAGGUGAAAUUCUCAGACCAGCGGAAGACGAACCACUGCGAAAGCAUUUGCCAGGGAUGUUUUCACUGAUCAAGAACGAAAGUUAGGGGAUCGAAGACGAUCAGAUACCGUCGUAGUCUUAACCAUAAACCAUGCCGACUAGGGAUUGGAGGAUGUUCCAUUUGUGACUCCUUCAGCACCUUUCGGGAAACUAAAGUCUUUGGGUUCCGGGGGAGUAUGGUCGCAAGGUGAAACUUAAAGGAUUG
rnacentral:rRNA from 1 species